UUUAUCGGGUUCUCUUUCGUCCACCUUUCCUAAACGGCUGUAUAAUCCAGCUCGGAGAAGUUCAUUGUUUUUCAGACUGUUUUGCCAGCUUCUGCAGGCUUCUGCAGUCACUUUCCUUUGCUCCCUCUAUGUCUUCAACACAAGAUUGUUGUGAUUUUCCGAUUUCUCUGCGCAGAGAAGUGUUUGGGAGUGUAGGCUUUGAAGUUUUGUUGCCGAGUUUCGAAACCUGCCCCUCACUUGUAAGGUCAAGUUACUUAACCUCUCUGUGCCCGUUUCUUUGUGAAACAGAGAUGACCUAAAACAUAGGGUUGUGUGUGCAUUAUUUGAGAUAAUACAUGGAAAGCUCUGGCACAGUGUUAACCAUUACCAGCACUCUCGUUUCCUGUUGAAACAUGAAGACAUCAUGCCAGGCAUUGGGGAUACAAAGAUGAGUGAAAUAAUCUGCCUUCCAGGAGCUUUCUAUCUGGGAGGGAACCCUGCCACAAUCUGAUGAAGACAUCAUUACAUUGCCUAUCUGAAUAACUACCUAUAUGGGUAACAACUGAAUAUCCCAAGAUUUGGGGAGAUGACUUGCUUUUAAAUGUUUGUUGAAUGAGUGAAAGAAUGAAUGGAUCUUAGAAUUAUUUCUGGGCCCUUUUAUCCCCAAUACUACUGCCUUUUCUUCUACUAAAAUACUCUUUUGAAAGAUGUGAUGGUAGAAAGAGGAAGAAAAGAGACAAUAGAUAGGAGUUGGGUUGGACACUGAAUGGCAUCUCAAAGCAAACAUCACUGUGCUGUGGUUUUUAUAGGUGAAAUCCUAUAAUGUCUGAGAUGUAUUUUAACAUAAUAUUGGAAAGGUUCAGAUGGUAAAGAUUGGUCACAUAGUGAUAUUUUUGAAGUUGAAGAUACUGGGUUUUAUUGUAUUCUUUCUGUAUUUUGUAUAUGCUUGAAAAUUUCCACAACACAAAGUUAAAAGUAAAAUCAUGAGUGCAUUUCCCUGCCUCUAGUCAAGUUCAGACUAUCCCAUGGAAUCUCAGUUUGGAUGCUUUAGGCUGAUGUUACAGAAAACUUGUCACAGACUGUGUUUUUGAGUAGACACUGAUAUGAAGAUGGGGAUUUCUUUGUAGGAAUGGACAGCAGCAGGAUUGGUCAGAGGAAGAUGUUGAACUGCUACUCAGGUCGAAGGAAGCUUCAGCCUACUUGGGAGGGAGCUGUAGAUGAGUGAUGCCCAUCAGAGAGUAUCCCAUGGCAUGUUGAAACGGCCAGCCCUUUGUACUGGAUGCAGUCUGCCUUAGGAAGGGUAUAAUUUCAAGCAAGGCGGCUGAGGCAGACCCCGGAGAAUCUGACCUCCUGCCUGCUGACCUGAGCAGAGAUCAAGAGUCAGAUGAUUAACUGGCCAGCCAACCAGGCACCCCUCUGGGAAGCUUUGAAAAACUAUUGGAUCCACCCAGAAUCAUAAUCUCCCAGAGUGAGUGCCAGAUGUGUGUAUUUUCUAGGUGAAAGAGAUUAAAAGUUCACUAUCUUUUUUUUAAAGUUUAUUUAUUCAUU